AUGUCGGAGCAGCAGUUCGCCGAAGAUGCAGAGGCGGCGGAGGCGACGGAGCCGACGGAGCCGCUUGAGGGAGACGCGGGGGGCGCCGAAGGGGGCGAAGGCGACGGCGCGGAAGGGGGGGGCGGCGGCGGCGAGUCGGAGGGCGCCAAAAUCGACGCCAGCAAGAACGAGGAGGACGAAGGGAAAAUGUUCAUUGGAGGGCUUAGCUGGGAUACUACGAAGAAAGAUUUGAAGGACUACUUCACCAAAUUUGGUGAGGUUGUGGACUGCACCCUGAAGCUGGAUCCUAUCACUGGUCGGUCAAGAGGUUUUGGCUUUGUGCUGUUCAAGGAAUCUGAGAGUGUGGACAAGGUUACGGAUCAAAAGGAGCAUAAAUUGAACGGCAAAGUGAUCGAUCCCAAAAGGGCUAAAGCGAUGAAAACAAAAGAGCCAGUUAAAAAGAUUUUUGUCGGGGGCUUAUCUCCAGAUACACCUGAAGAAAAAAUAAGGGAAUACUUCGGAGGUUUUGGUGAGGUGGAAUCAAUAGAACUUCCUAUGGACAACAAAACCAAUAAACGUCGUGGAUUUUGUUUCAUUACUUUCAAAGAGGAGGAGCCAGUGAAGAAGAUUAUGGAGAAAAAGUACCACAACGUUGGUCUUAGUAAAUGUGAAAUAAAAGUAGCCAUGUCAAAAGAACAGUAUCAGCAGCAACAGCAAUGGGGGACUCGGGGGGGAUUCUCUGGAAGAGCUCGCGGACGAGGUGGAGGCCCCAGUCAAAGCUGGAACCAGGGGUACAAUAACUACUGGAAUCAGGGCUAUGGCAACUACGGAUACAACAGUCAGGGCUAUGGUGGCUACGGAGGCUAUGACUAUACUGGCUACAACAACUAUUAUGGAUAUGGAGACUAUAGCAAUCAGCAGAGUGGUUAUGGGAAGGUAUCCCGGCGAGGUGGUCAUCAAAAUAGCUACAAACCGUACUAAAUUAUUCCAUUUUGCAGCCUAUCCCCCGACAGCGGGAACUUCCUUGCAGGCCCUGUUGUCGCGCUGACUUCCCGAUUCUCACAGGCCCGCUCAAUGCGGACAGGGUACGAGAUGCUCACGCUCUCGAAUGCGGCCGUUUGGUGGACAAGCAGUAUUCUCAUUCGAAGAUUCAUUUUGAGGCGGCUCAGGCUGCCCGCUUAAUAGCAGUUCAAACUAAAAAAUUUUUUGUAUCGAGUCCCUGAAUUGGAAGUAACAUGUUGGUCCCUCUGAAGUUUGCGUUCUCAUUACAACAGAAUUGCUUUCACUGUCUUUAUUAUUUUUUUUAAUUGCUAUGCUUAAGAAUAAAUUUGACUUACCCCCCCGGCCCAUUUUGUCCCCCAGUAUUGUAGAGCACGUCUUGUGUUUAAAAAAGCCCAGUGUGACAGUGUCAUGAUGUAGUAGUGUCUUACUGGUUUUUUAAUAAAUCUUUUUGUAUAAA